rnacentral:rRNA from 1 species
CGGGACGGGUGAGUAAUGUCUGGGAAACUGCCUGAUGGAGGGGGGUAACUACUGGAAACGGUAGCUAAUACCGCAUAACGUCGCAAGACCAAAGAGGGGGACCUUCGGGCCUCUUGCCAUCGGAUGUGCCCAGAUGGGAUUAGCUAGUAGGUGGGGUAACGGCUCACCUAGGUGACGAUCCCUAGCUGGUCUGAGAGGAUGACCAGCCACACUGGAACUGAGACACGGUCCAG